ACGUAGGGUGCGAGAGUUAAUCGGAAUUACUGGGCGUAAAGCGUGCGCAGGCGGAUAUGUAAGACAGAAGUGAAAUCCCCCGGCACAACCUGGGAAAUGCUUUAGUGACUGCAUAGCUGGAGUACGGCAGAGGGGGAUGGAAUUCCGCGUGUAGCAGUGAAAUGCGUAGAUAUGCGGAGGAACACCGAUGGCGAAGGCAAUCCCCUGGGCCUGUCCUGACGCUCAUGCACGAAAGCGUGGGGAGCAAACAG
rnacentral:rRNA from 1 species